GGGCUCGCUUCCGCAGCACAUAUACACAAAUUGGAAUGGUACAGAGAAGAUUAGCAUGGCGCAUGUGCAAGGCUGACAUGCAAAUUCGCGAAGCGUUCCAUAUUUUU